rnacentral:rRNA from 1 species
AUGGACACCGCCCUAGACGAAGCAAAAGAAGCGUUGUUGAGGGACAUAAUCGCAGAAGGAAGUGAUGUCGUCUCGUUGUUUCUCAAUGACACCGAUGGUCUGGAAGGAGAGGGUGAACAAGCUGGCUACGGUGACCUAAUGCCGGUGCAAGAAGAAGAACAUGAGGACGGCUCCGUUGACCCAAUGCCGGUGCAAGAAGGAGACCGUGAUGACGGCUCCGGUGACCGAACCGAGUUAUAUAUAUUACCCUCCGGAUCGAGCACAACUUCGGUAAAGAGACAAGGCCCGAAGAAAAAGUUGAGCUCGGAUGAAAAGUUUGAGAUCAUAGCAAUCGCGCCCGACGGCCAACCGAUUGAACCCCUCCGGACAAAGAGCGCAUUUGUUGCUCAGUGCAGGGUUCUGGUUAGGGAGAAGAUCCCGAUAAGCAUCCAGCAAUGGUUUAAGCCGGCUACAGAAGACCCUGAGGUGUCUUAUGUCAAUGAUAUGCAGAAAAAUGAUCUUUGGACUGAGCUGAAGUCAAAUUUCACCCUACCGCCAGAGGAUAAUCCAGAGAACCCAAUUAAAGAGAAAUUAAUCAAGUCUUUUGCUCUUAAGAGGAUGGCAGAACUAUUCAGGAGGUGGAAGAAAGAGCUGAAUAAGUUUGUCGAAAAUAAUGAGACACCAGAAUUCAAGGUCAGAUAUGAGAAGAUCAGAGAUCACUGGCCCGCAUUUGUGGCCCAUAAGACAUCGGAAAAGAGUAAGAAGAUGUCGGUGACAAACAAGCAAAAUGCUGCGAAGAAGAUGCUUCACCAUCGCACGGGGUCAGGUGGCUACCUCGUAGCCCGGCCUAAGUGGGCCAAGACUGAGAAUGAUCUGGUUCAUAAAGGGAUCGAACCAGAGACAAUUAGCUGGCCAGACCGUUGCCGGACUUGGUUCUUAGGGGCUGGCGGAACCUUGGACCCUGUAACAGGGAAGUGCAUUUGGACGAACGAUCAAAUGGACAUACCAGUCAGGAAGCUUAAGCAGUAUAUCGAAGCAGCACAGCAAGGGAAGUUCUUUCCAGACAGAGAGAAUGACAAGCUCACAAUGGCCCUCAGGAAUCCUGAGCACCCUGGACGGACACGAGGCACGCCAGGCUCCAUUCCGUGGAAGGUUGGGUUUCCGGACGCAGGCGGUUACAAAUCCCAUGAGAGGAGGAAAAAAGUGCAGCAGACCCAAAUGCAGGCGCUGCAAGCAAGGGUAGACACGAUAGAGGAACGAGAAGCAAAUCGCAGCAAACGUACUACCGAAGCCUCCCCCGAAGCUACCCCGCCAUCUCAGCGCAGAAGCAGCGUGGCUCCCACCGAGCUGCUUUAG